rnacentral:rRNA from 1 species
AGUGAACGCUGGCGGUAGGCCUAACACAUGCAAGUCGAACGGCAGCACAGUAAGAGCUUGCUCUUACGGGUGGCGAGUGGCGGACGGGUGAGGAAUACAUCGGAAUCUACUUUUUCGUGGGGGAUAACGUAGGGAAACUUACGCUAAUACCGCAUACGACCUACGGGUGAAAGCAGGGGAUCUUCGGACCUUGCGCGAUUGAAUGAGCCGAUGUCGGAUUAGCUAGUUGGCGGGGUAAAGGCCCACCAAGGCGACGAUCCGUAGCUGGUCUGAGAGGAUGAUCAGCCACACUGGAACUGAGACACGGUCCAGACUCCUACGGGAGGCAGCAGUGGGGAAUAUUGGACAAUGGGCGCAAGCCUGAUCCAGCCAUACCGCGUGGGUGAAGAGGGCCUUCGGGUUGUAAAGCCCUUUUGUUGGGAAAGAAAAGCAGCAGGUUAAUACCCCGCUGUUCUGACGUUACCCAAAGAAUAAGCACCGGCUAACUUCGUG